rnacentral:rRNA from 1 species
CAGGGAAUCUUGCACAAUGGGCGAAAGCCUGAUGCAGCGACGCCGCGUGGGGGAUGAAGGCCUUAGGGUCGUAAACCCCUUUCAGCAGGGACGAAAAUGACGGUACCUGCAGAAGAAGCCCCGGCCAACUACGUGCCAGCAGCCGCGGUAAGACGUAGGGGGCGAGCGUUGUCCGGAUUUAUUGGGCGUAAAGAGCUCGUAGGCGGUUGCGUAAGUCGGAUGUGAAAACUCAGGGCUCAACCCUGAGACGCCAUCCGAUACUGCGCUGACUUGAAUCCAGUAGGGGAGUGUGGAAUUCCUGGUGUAGCGGUGAAAUGCGCAGAUAUCAGGAGGAACACCCAUGGCGAAGGCAGCACUCUGGGCUGGUAUUGACGCUGAGGAGCGAAAGCAUGGGUAGCGAACAGGAUUAGAUACCCUAGUAGUCCCUGAGCGGGCUGGCAAGGCGCAU